AGGAGCAAUUANAGCGUGGUGGAACCACACCGAACCCAUCCCGAACUCGGAGGUGAAACGCUACUGCGGCGACGAUAGUUGGAGGGUUGCCUCCUGCCACAAUAGCUCAGUGCCAGGU
rnacentral:rRNA from 1 species